rnacentral:rRNA from 1 species
CAGCCGCCACGGUAAUACGUAGGUCCCGAGCGUUGUCCGGAUUUAUUGGGCGUAAAGCGAGCGCAGGCGGUUAGAUAAGUCUGAAGUUAAAGGCUGUGGCUUAACCAUAGUACGCUUUGGAAACUGUUUAACUUGAGUGCAGAAGGGGAGAGUGGAAUUCCAUGUGUAGCGGUGAAAUGCGUAGAUAUAUGGAGGAACACCGGUGGCGAAAGCGGCUCUCUGGUCUGUAACUGACGCUGAGGCUCGAAAGCGUGGGGAGCAAACAGGAUUAGAUACCCGGGUAGUCCCUGUCUCUUAUACA